CUGUUUCCACUAAAGAUUCAUUCAGAAUAAUUAUGGAUUUAGUUGUGCACUCUAAUUCAGAGUUGCAUCAAAUGAUUGUUAAAACUGUUGUUCUGAAUGGAUAAUUGAGUGAGCAAGUCUAUAUGUCUCAACCUGAAGGCUUCGAGGAAAAUGGAAAUGACAAUUUGGUUUGCAAAUUGAAAUGAUUCAUUUAUAGUCUCAAACAGGCAUCUCGCCAGUGGUACUUGAAGUUUGACAAGGUUGUGACACUGUUGGGUUUCAUCGAGAACAAGUUUGAUUAGUGUAUUUAUAUGAAGAUCAGUGGGAGUCAUCAUAUUUUUCUUGUUCUUUAUGUAGACGACAUUUUACUUGCCAGCAGUGAUUUGUCAUUACUAAAUGAGACCAAAAAUUUUCUGUCUUCCAAUUUUGAUAUGAAAGAUCUUGGAGAGGCAUCUUUAGUUUUGGAGAUUGAGAUUUAUCAUGAUAAGAAUCGAAAAGUUCUUGGCUUACCUCAAGAAGCUUACGUUACUCGUGUGCUCAAAAGGUUCAACAUGGAUUUGUGUAAAGCUGGUUUCGUUCCUAUUCUGAAAGGGACAAAUUUACUAAGCAACAUUGUCCUAAGAACGACUUAAAAAGAGAAGCAAUGAAGAAUAUCCCAUAUGCAAGUGCAGUAGGGAGUUUGAUGUAUGCUUAGGUUUGCACUAGACCUGAUAUUGCUUUCAUAGUCGAUGUUCUUAGGAGAUAUUUAUCUGAUCCUGGCCAUGAUCAUUGGUUUGUAGCCAAUAAAGUUUUGAGAUAUUUGCAUAGAACAAAGAGUUUUAUGCUUGUGUAUAAGCAUGUCAACAAUCUUUAAGUUGUUGGUUAUUCAGAUUCAGAUUUUGGUGGUUAUGUAGAUGAUUUAAAGUCAACUUCUGGCUAUAUUUUCACUUUUGUUGGUGCUGCUAUUUCUUGAAAAAGUGUUAAAUAGACUUUAAUCGUAUCAUCUACUAUGUAUGUUAAAUUUGUUGCAUGUUAUGGGGCAUCUUUGCAAGCUUUAUGGUUAAAGAAUUUGAUUUUAGAGAUACGAUUAGUUGAUCCUAUUUCCUCUCCUAUACUAAUCUAUUGUGAUAAUAGUAUUGUUGUUUUCUUUUCAAAGAAUAAUGAGAUUAGUAGUGCUUCUAAAUAUAAGGAAAUAAAGUAUCUCACUAUUAAAGACUUGGUUAAGAAAGGAGACAUUGUGAUAGGAUAUUGAAAGACCAAGUUGCUAUUUGUAGAUCCUCUAACCAAAGGAUUAAGUGUCAUAUUGUUUGAUAAAUAUGUUUUUAAUAUGAGCAUUUUAUAAUCUUUUGUUCCUUUGGGUUAGUGGGAGUUUCUUGCUUUAUCUUUUGAGAUUACAUUUAUAUGUAAUUUACUUGUUGAUGUUAUGAACUACUUUGUGGGCCAAUACUUUUUUGAUUAUUGGAUGUUUAUGCUUUCAGUUAGGCUUUGUUAUAUUCUCGAGAAUAAUUGAAUUGAAAGCAUGUAGUUCAUAUCUUGUUGUGAUCAUUGUAUUUUAAGUAUAUUUACUAAAAGACAAUGAUAUUUUUGUUGGCUUAAUGUUUUAAGCAAGUUUAGUGACACUUACUUAUUUAUUAAGUAGUGUAUGUUUAAUUUCACUGGCUUAUUUAUUAAGCAUCACGGUAUCAGUGAAAUUGAGGACUGAUAAGGAUAUUAUGUUAUUUUAAAUUGAUCACAUGUUGAACAUAAUUCCUUACCACACUACUAGACUUAUUGACCAUGUCGAUUUAAUACUUUGGUAUUUGUGAUUAUGAAUGUCUUUUGUUGAUUUAAAAACAAUAUGACUGUCAUAGUUCAUUAUCAAAGGUUAAAUUGGACCGGUAUGUUGAGAUGCUAUCAGAGAACUAUCAUUUUUUAAAGUGGCCACAAAUGUUUUUCUGUUGUUCAACCCAUGAGUCGUUUUCAAACAAAAUUAUUUUGAUAUAUAAUAUAUAUGUAUUAAAAUCAAUGUAGCCCAAGUGGGAGAAUGUUAGACUUUUAUUUGGGCUUACAUUAAAAUUUUAUUGGUUUUAUUAAAACUUGGGUUGACUGGAUAGUUCUUUGCUGUGUUAGCCCAUAUUGUUGGUGAUCACUUGUUCAUGGGCUUAGCAUCUGUGUGUAAAGUCUAGGUGAAGCAGAAGUGUGGGCUUUUCUAGUUGACUGAAGCCUUUGAUGAGCAGGCCCAGCCCAACUAGGGUUUUGUAGCUAAGUCCCCUCCCUAACUCUAUAAAUACAUAUUGUCUCAUCACAAUUGUAUACCUUUUGAUAAUCAGAUAAAUAAACUGCUUCUGAUUUAGAGAUCUAGGGAGGAAGACUUAGUUGAUAGUAUUGCACUAUCAAAUUGGAGUAACUGCUGUGGAUCAAACAGAGAUAAUUGCUAUGGAUCAAUCAGGUAGUAGUGACGAGAUAACAAGUCUUAAGCAGUGGGAUUUGAGGAUCUUGUCCUCAACAAGAAAAUUUAUUGAGGUGCUUGGAGUAGCAAGAAGGUGUUCUUAACAACUGAGGUAAAGGUAAAACUAUAUAGUGAGGGUGGCGAGCUCGAGGCGUGGAUUACAUGUUAGGGGAUUGUCACGAUGUUUUGGUUUAAAAAUAUUUCAUUUAAGAUUAUGAUUCAAAUAGUUUUUGUAAAGCUUUAUAUUUUAAGGUUAUGAAUAAAUAAAUGUUUUGUUUUAAAAAUAAUGAGAUCUCAUGCUUAGUUAUUUUU